UACGUAGGGGGCAAGCGUUGUCCGGAUUUAUUGGGCGUAAAGAGCGUGUAGGCGGUCCGGUAAGUCCGCUGUGAAAGUCGGGGGCUCAACCCUCGAAUGCCGGUGGAUACUGUCGGGCUAGAGUGCGGAAGAGGCGAGUGGAAUUCCUGGUGUAGCGGUGAAAUGCGCAGAUAUCAGGAAGAACACCCGUGGCGAAGGCGGCUCUCUGGGACGGUACUGACGCUGAGACGCGAAAGCGUGGGGAGCGAACAGG
rnacentral:rRNA from 1 species